rnacentral:rRNA from 1 species
ACGAGGGCUUAGCUGUCUCCUACCCCCAGUCAGUGAAAUUGAUCUUUCCGUGCAGAAGCGGGACUGUUACCAUAAGACGAGAAGACCCUGUGGAGCUUUAGACAUUAGGGAGCCCUGCCCACGAGCCUGCUCGACCAGUAAAUUUCGAGGCCCCUCCCCAUUUGUCUUUGGUUGGGGCGACCACGGAGAAAAAACUAGCCUCCAUGAGGACCGGGAAUACUAUUUCUUUACCCAAGAGCAACAGCUCUAAGCGGCAGAAUUUCUGACCACCAGAUCCGGCUGAUGCCGAUCAACGGACCGAGUUACCCCAGGGAUAACAGCGCAAUCCUCUCCCAGAGCCCCUAUCGACGAGGGGGUUUACGACCUCGAUGUUGGAUCAGGACAUCCUAGCGGUGCAGCCGCUGCUAAGGGUUCGUUUGUUCAACGAUUAAAGUCCUACGUGAUCUGAGUUCA